UUUUAUGUAAUUAUAAGUUCGGCAAUAAUAAUAAUAAAAAAGAGGGACAGGUGCACUAACACCUCAUGGCAUCACUAACUCAACAAUCUAGUAUGGUUUUCCUCAGCGUUUGCAGUAUCUGCACAAAAGAUAUGUCGGGCAGCUGCUCGAAGAUCUCGCCUUUGGAGAAGACUGUCGAUUUUAUACUUUAAAAAUAUGGUGAACCCCACAUCCUACUGCCAUCUCAACACAGCGGAGACAGUUCUGCUGCUGCGCUGUGCUUCACAAUCUCGCUCUUCUCAGUGGAGACAUCGUUGAGCAAGAGGAUGAGGAAGACCAUGAUGACGGCUCUCUGAACCACACAAGCUAGAAGCAAGAGCAGGGGAACACAUGCGGGACAAUCUGGCUGCCACUGUGUCUGCUCCAAACAUCUGUGUGCUGCUCUCCAUGAGCACGACUAUCUAUGCUCCAGCUGGCUCUGGGGUCCCUGAGGAUGAAGAGACCACAGCAACAUCUGGCACAGAUGAGACAGUAAGAGGUGGAGUGAUGGAGCGUCUCAUCCAUGACACUGGAC